UGUUUUGUGCUUGAAUCUAAUUCAA
rnacentral:siRNA from 1 species